GUCGAGCGAACGGACGAGAAGCUUGCUUCUCUGAUGUUAGCGGCGGACGGGUGAGUAACACGUGGAUAACCUACCUAUAAGACUGGGAUAACUUCGGGAAACCGGAGCUAAUACCGGAUAAUAUUUUGAACCGCAUGGUUCAAAAGUGAAAGACGGUCUUGCUGUCACUUAUAGAUGGAUCCGCGCUGCAUUAGCUAGUUGGUAAGGUAACGGCUUACCAAGGCAACGAUGCAUAGCCGACCUGAGAGGGUGAUCGGCCACACUGGAACUGAGACACGGUCCAGACUCCUACGGGAGGCAGCAGUAGGGAAUCUUCCGCAAUGGGCGAAAGCCUGACGGAGCAACGCCGCGUGAGUGAUGAAGGUCUUCGGAUCGUAAAACUCUGUUAUUAGGGAAGAACAUAUGUGUAAGUAACUGUGCACAUCUUGACGGUACCUAAUCAGAAAGCCACGGCUAACUACGUGCCAGCAGCCGCGGUAAUACGUAGGUGGCAAGCGUUAUCCGGAAUUAUUGGGCGUAAAGCGCGCGUAGGCGGUUUUUUAAGUCUGAUGUGAAAGCCCACGGCUCACACCGUGGAGGGUCAUUGGAAACUGGAAAACUUGAGUGCAGAAGAGGAAAGUGGAAUUCCAUGUGUAGCGGU
rnacentral:rRNA from 1 species